rnacentral:rRNA from 1 species
AUUGAACGCUGGCGGCAGGCCUAACACAUGCAAGUCGAGCGAGCGGCGGACGGGUGAGUAAUGUAUGGGGACUGCCCGAUAGAGGGGGAUAACUACUGGAAACGGUAGCUAAUACCGCAUACUAUCGGAUAACCCAUAUGGGAUUAGCUAGUAGGUGAGGUAAUGGCUCACCUAGGCGACGCUCCCUAGCUGGUCUGAGAGGAUGAUCAGCCACAUGGUGACUGAGACACGGCCGAGACUCCGACGGAGGCAGCAGCGGGGAAUAUUGCACAAGGGGCGCAAGCCGGAUGCAGCCAUGCCGCGUGUAGGAUGAAGGCCCUAGGGUUGUAAAGUGCUUUCAGUCGGGAGGCGUUACCGACAGAAGAAGCACCGGCUAACUCCGUGCCAGCCGCCGCGGUAAUUC